CACACAAUGCUCUGCAGAAAUACAAAGAGUACUGAAUCAGCUUGGAACACCACAAGACACGCAUGAAUUGCGGCAACAGUUACAACAGAAGCAACAAUAUACAAAUCAACUUGCCAAAGAGACUGACAAAUACAUUAAAGAGUUCAGAUCUCUGCCUUCAGUAAGCGAACAG